rnacentral:rRNA from 1 species
GAUGAACGCUAGCGGCAGGCCUAACACAUGCAAGUCGAGGGGUAGAAGGAGCUUGCUCCUUUGAGACCGGCGCACGGGUGCGUAACGCGUAUGCAAUCUACCUUUUACAGAGGGAUAGCCCAGAGAAAUUUGGAUUAAUACCUCAUAGUAUAUAUCAUUCGCAUGUUUGGUAUAUUGAAGUUCCAACGGUAAAAGAUGAGCAUGCGUCCCAUUAGUUAGUUGGUAAGGGAACGGCUUACCAAGACGAUGAUGGGUAGGGGUCCUGAGAGGGAGAUCCCCCACACUGGUACUGAGACACGGACCAGACUCCUACGGGAGGCAGCAGUGAGGAAUAUUGGUCAAUGGACGCAAGUCUGAACCAGCCAUGCCGCGUGCAGGAAGACGGUCCUAUGGAUUGUAAACUGCUUUUGUACGGGAAGAAACACUCCUACGUGUAGGAGCCUGACGGUACCGUAAGAAUAAGGAUCGGCUAACUCCGUGCCAGCCGCCGCGGUAAAAC